rnacentral:rRNA from 1 species
AUUGAACGCUGGCGGCAUGCUUUACACAUGCAAGUCGAACGGCAGCGCGGGCUUCGGCCUGGCGGCGAGUGGCGAACGGGUGAGUAAUACAUCGGAACGUGCCCAGUAGUGGGGGAUAGCUCGGCGAAAGCCGGAUUAAUACCGCAUACGACCUAAGGGUGAAAGCGGGGGAUCUUCGGACCUCGCGCUAUUUGAGCGGCCGAUGGCAGAUUAGCUAGUUGGUGGGGUAAAGGCCUACCAAGGCGACGAUCUGUAGCUGGUCUGAGAGGACGACCAGCCACACUGGGACUGAGACACGGCCCAGACUCCUACGGGAGGCAGCAGUGGGGAAUUUUGGACAAUGGGCGAAAGCCUGAUCCAGCAAUGCCGCGUGUGUGAUGAAGGCCUUCGGGUUGUAAAGCACUUUUGGCGGGAACGAAAAGGACUGUGCCAAUACCACGGUUCGAUGACGGUACCCGCAGAAUAAGCACCGGCUAACUACGU